rnacentral:rRNA from 1 species
CUGAGGGGUACUGCGGAGGAUCAUUAUCGAGUUUUGAACGGGUUGUAGCUGGCCUUUCACGAGGCAUGUGCACGCCUGGCUCAUCCACUCUUAACCUCUGUGCACUUUAUGUAAGAGAAAAAAAUGGUGGAAGCUUCCAGGAUCUCGCGAGAGGUCUUCGGUUGAACAAGCCGUUUUUCUUUCUUAUGUUUUACUACAAACGCUUCAGUUAUAGAAUGUCAACUGUGUAUAACACAUUUAUAUACAACUUUCAGCAACGGAUCUCUUGGCUCUCGCAUCGAUGAAGAACGCAGCGAAAUGCGAUAAGUAAUGUGAAUUGCAGAAUUCAGUGAAUCAUCGAAUCUUUGAACGCACCUUGCACUCCUUGGUAUUCCGAGGAGUAUGCCUGUUUGAGUCUCAUGGUAUUCUCAACCCCUAAAUUUUUGUAAUGAAGGUUUAGCGGGCUUGGACUUGGAGGUUGUGUCGGCCCUUGUCGGUCGACUCCUCUGAAAUGCAUUAGCGUGAAUCUUACGGAUCGCCUUCAGUGUGAUAAUUAUCUGCGCUGUGGUGUUGAAGUAUUUAUGGUGUUCAUGCUUCGAACCGUCUCCUUGCCGAGACAAUCAUUUGACAAUCUGAGCUCAAAUCAGGUAGGACUACCCGCUGAACUUAAGCAUAUCUAAAGGCGGAAGGACCAGCGGCAGGACCUU